rnacentral:rRNA from 1 species
GGAUGCGAUCAUACCAGCACUAAAGCACCGGAUCCCAUCAGAACUCUGAAGUUAAGCGUGCUUGGGCGAGAGUAGUACUAGGAUGGGUGACCUCCUGGGAAGUUCUCGUGUUGCAUUCC